UCCUAAACUGCAGCUUAUUCUCCGCCCCAGCGGAGCUCCGCAGCGGCUCCUAAAUAAUAAUAAUCAUUUAAAAAAAACGGACCCUCCACAUCCAAAUCUCUUCCGAUGCUGGAAAAGACGUGCUGAAAUUGCUUUCUAAUUACAUAACAUCAGAAGUGAAGUCCCACGAAACAGUUUACUAACUCUGACGAUAGAAAGCCACCGGCGGAGAACCUUGCACGCUGUAGAGCUGGGCGCGGUACCGCACACCUCCUCGGCACAAUGCGUAGGCUCCAUGCUCUAUAAAUGUGGGUGGUAAAGGGCCAUGUGCCUUAUGGACGCGUGGUUUUAUAUACGUGUUGUUAUCUGGGCCAUUGCGUCGCCUCUCCGCGUUUUGUACCAGACGCGGCCAGGAAAUGAUGUCAUUGCCAAAUGAGUCAAGAAAUCUUACAGCCCACCCUGGAUUCAGAAACGCUCCUGAAAUACGAGUAGAAGGCAAUAGGAUGUAACUUGGCUUUGAAAGUGCCAACCUUACAGUCAAAUGUAACCCAGGAGACCCUGCGGCUCUGCAAGAUGCAAGGAGGCUUAAGAAAAACAGAUAUAAAUUUGUAAUGAACUUGCUCACAACAUCCGGCGCCACUGUAAAUCGCCGUCGUCCAUCACCAUAGAAGUUAGGUGAGCCUGUGCUUGCAUAUUGUUUCCUGUUUUCAGCAACUCAGAGAUUCUUGAAGACAAAUUAUUUAAUAGCAUGGAAACAGGAAGAUUAAUAGGACUUAUUAGUGCUAAUAAAUAAAGAUGGUAAAAUCGGGAAAAAUGUCUAAACUUUAUUAUAUUUUAUAUGAGACACACAACCUCUAUCCCACAAGGAAGUUUUAGGAAAUUGAGUUCAGUAGAUGGAGCCCUUACUUCUCAGUUAAGAGUCCCCAGAAUUUAACAUUAGAGUUUCUGUGUUUAAA